UAAACCCACGAUUCCGUCGAGAUCUAGAAUUAAAUAUCUCCGACCGAUUUUGAGUGCACCAACUUCGCUCCUCUACAAUUCCGUCGAGAUCUAGAAUUAAAUUUCAUUCUCUCACAUCGCCACCGUAUAAAAGCCCUAGAACACUACCUCUUUGAUUUUUGCAUCGUCGUUCACCGGAGAAUUGGCCGAUCACAACGUUUGUUUGUUUGUUAUUUAUUUAUUUAUUUAUUUACAUUCAACGCUUCAUUUUCAGUCUUUCCAAUUCUCAGUUUCCCCGUCGGAAGGCGCUACUCGAUCCAAAGUUACAAAAUGGCAAUGCAAACCGAAGUUAGCACCUCCAAAGCUCUUAUCCUCGUCAUAGCAGACCAAAUUUAAAGGAAGGGUCUUCAUGACUCAUACAACAAAUGUUAUUUACAAGAUACUUUUAUCCAAUUAUGUGAAAUUCAACAAAGUUUCAGUUGACAAUAAGUUAUUUGAUGAACAAGACAUCCUUCGUUCUUAUCGAACAUUAACUUGUCCUAGACUAUGAUGGUGAGUUGAAUGUUUCUGUAACCUGGAUUGUGUAAAUUGGCAUAAUAUAUAACCUCUUUUUACUCUUUAA